rnacentral:misc_RNA from 1 species
GAUUCAUACACUUAUCGUACUCCAUUGUCAUCUUCCUCCCAAGUUCUUCAUCUCCAUUACCAUGCAUUUUCAGCAGCUCCACACAGAGGCAGCAAAUGGGUAACCCAUCAAUCUCUCUCAGAUUCACCAUUUUCCUCUCCCUCUCUCUUUCAAUCACCCCCUUUGCUCUUUCUCCCAAUUACAACAAACCAUCCCCAAUUCCCAAAGCCACCCCCUCCGAUUU